UGUUAAUAGUAGUUAAAAAAAUAAUAAAAUGGCAUUAUCAUUGAGUUGUCAGUUUAGGAAAAUGCCUUAUGGCUUCCGGUGUAGGUUUUUAUAUGAUUGUUUGGUUUAUUUGUUGGCACUUUUUUCUUGAAGUAAUGCCUUUUUGUAUACACCAUAAUUGGGAUAUAAGCAUUUGGAAAUCUUUAUUCAUGUAUUUUUGUCAUAAAAAUUAAUUCAUUUUAGACUGGCUAUUCAUAAUUUCCAUAAAGUGUCUUACAGAUAAUUAUAACAAACCUAACCUUAAAUGUGUCACCAAAAUCAGAAUUGAGCCAUCUAUAGUAAAGCUAUUAAGGAAUGAAAUGCCAGUUGUCUAUAAUAAAGUAGGUUUUCAUUGAUGGUUGCCCAUAUUAGAUCAUGAUUUGGCAAAGUGCCUGAAGGGAUAGGAAAUAUUUAUAGGGUUAGAGCAGCUUAUUUUAAGCCCAGGUUAAAACAGGUCUUUCACUAAAAAGGAACUUGAUGAGAAGCAAAAUAAAGUAUAAAAUGAAAAGUUGCCUUUGAGGAAUAAAUUAUUAAAAAAAUUUUUUUAAAUAAGCUGCUCUUUGUUGGUAGUAGGGAGAUUUUAAUUUGAAGCUGUUGUUUUUCCUUAGCUUACGCUAUUCUACAUGUGUAUUGUAGAAUCAUGGGAUUUUGGAGCUAGAAGAACUUUGAAGAUCAUUUAGUCCAACCCCUUCCCUCCCAUUAUAGAUGGGAAAGCUGAAGCUCAGAGACAUAAAGUGGCUUGUCCAGUGCCACACAGCUGGUGGAAACUAGGACUAAAUCUAGGAUUCUUGUCUUUAUAGUGCCUAUACUAGGCACUAACUAUUCUUUUACAGUACAUGUAGUAUAUAGCAUCAAGCACUCUGAUCCCUUCAGUCUUUUAUUCUGUUAUUUGGUAAAGCAUUUAAAGGAAAAGAUAUAUGCAAGUAAAAUGUAGAUUAAACCAUUUUUUUCCAGUGGUUGAAUACUACAUACACACAAGUGCUGGAAAUGUAGGUUUCUUUGUACACAUAAGGUAGUAUUAAUAUAUUAUGUCAUAAUUUCUACCACAUUUUAUUGAUAUGCUUCCGUAUUUGAUAAUUUUUCUGAGGCUUUAUUUAAAGGCAAAGUAACUCCCACUGCAAUGACUUAAUAUUUUUGUUACUCAAAUUUUACUAAAAUAUCAAUGUAGUAAAGUAAUUACAAUUUUAAUUGAAUAUUGCAAAUUAGAAUUAAAGUACUGAAGUUUCUGCUCCAG
rnacentral:lncRNA from 1 species